GGUAGCGGCCACACCUAGGUGCAAAUGCCUGAUAGUAUUCAAUCUUGGAAGCUAAGCAGGGCUGUGCCUGCUUAGUACUUAGAUGGGGGAUCAACUUGGAAGACCAGGGGCUGCUAGCC
rnacentral:rRNA from 12 species